UCUAAAUUGGCUCCAGCCUUGUGCUUGGCACAGAGGGAAAAAAACAACGCGCCUCUAUUGUUGAGGGUGGCUUGUACCUGCGCCGCCAAUUUCAGGUGCUGCGGAGCUACGACAACCGGCGGCAGCGAGGGACACCCGGACACCGGGUUUUGGCGCUGGGAUGGGUGGCCCUCCGUUCCUCCCUUCCCCGCAGCCGGCCCUCCACAUCCGUUCCCUCUCGUUCUCCGCACCGUGGAGGAAGGACUAGAGCGACCGGGCUGAAAAAAUCUCAGUUGCAGCCAAAAAAGAAACCCCAAAUCCUCAGGAUAAGGACAUCGCCGGGCAGGGGAAAGAGGAUUGCUGAGAUUGGGGAUAGAGAACCGAAAAGGGGAAAUGCGGAGACCAGCAACAAAGUAAAUGAGAAGAGAGGAGGAAAAAAAAAGAGGGAGAAAGAAAGGAGAAAGCAAGAGGGAAAAUAAAACGAAAAAUACAGAAACAAAUCAAACAACAACAACAAAAACAGAACAACCGCAGAAGGGAACAGAAGACACGAUAAAAAGGGGAGAGAAAGAGGAGGAAAUAACUAAAAAUAAAAAUAAAAAUAAAAA